GAUGAACGCUGGUGGCGUGCCUAAUACAUGCAAGUAGAACGCUGAAGCUUGGUGCUUGCACCGAGCGGAAGAGUUGCGAACGGGUGAGUAACGCGUAGGUAACCUGCCUCUUAGCGGGGGAUAACUAUUGGAAACGAUAGCUAAUACCGCAUAAAAGUCGACAUUGCAUGAUGUUGACUUGAAAGGUGCAACUGCAUCACUAAGAGAUGGACCUGCGUUGUAUUAGCUAGUUGGUGAGGUAACGGCUCACCAAGGCGAGGAUACAUAGCCGACCUGAGAGGGUGAUCGGCCACACUGGGACUGAGACACGGCCCAGACUCCUACGGGAGGCAGCAGUAGGGAAUCUUCGGCAAUGGACGAAAGUCUGACCGAGCAACGCCGCGUGAGUGAAGAAGGUUUUCGGAUCGUAAGGCUCUGUUGUAAGAGAAGAACGAGUGUGAGAGUGGAAAGUUCACACUG
rnacentral:rRNA from 1 species